GACGAACGCUGGCGGCGUGCUUAACACAUGCAAGUCGAACGGAAAGGCCCUGCUUUUGUGGGGUGCUCGAGUGGCGAACGGGUGAGUAACACGUGAGUAACCUGCCCUUGACUUUGGGAUAACUUCAGGAAACUGGGGCUAAUACCGGAUAGGAGCUCCUGCUGCAUGGUGGGGGUUGGAAAGUUUCGGCGGUUGGGGAUGGACUCGCGGCUUAUCAGCUUGUUGGUGGGGUAGUGGCUUACCAAGGCUUUGACGGGUAGCCGGCCUGAGAGGGUGACCGGCCACAUUGGGACUGAGAUACGGCCCAGACUCCUACGGGAGGCAGCAGUGGGGAAUAUUGCACAAUGGGCGGAAGCCUGAUGCAGCAACGCCGCGUGCGGGAUGACGGCCUUCGGGUGGUAAACCGCUUUCGCCCGUGACGAAGCGUGAGUGACGGUAAUGGGUAAAGAAGCACCGGCUAACUACGU
rnacentral:rRNA from 1 species